GAGCGAACGCUGGCGGGCGUGCCUAACACAUGCAAGUCGCACGCGGUCCGCGGGGGCAACUCUGCGGACUGAGUGGCGAACGGGUGAGUAACGCGUGGGCAACCUGCCCGCAAGUGGGGAAUAACCCCGGGAAACUGGGGCUAAUACCGCAUAACGCCCGAUGGCGUCGGUCAUCGGGCUGAAAGUCCCGAAGCAAUUCGGGACGCUUACGGAGGGGCCCGCGUCCGAUCAGCUUGUUGGUGAGGUCACGGCUCACCAAGGCUAAGACCGGUAGCCGGCCUGAGAGGGUGUUCGGCCACACUGGGACUGAGACACGGCCCAGACUCCUACGGGAGGCAGCAGUGAGGAAUAUUGCGCAAUGGGGGAAACCCUGACGCAGCGACGCCGCGUGGAGGACGAAGCCCUUCGGGGUGUAAACUCCUUUCGACCCGGAAGAAAACCCGCAAGGGUCUGACGGUACGGGUAGAAGAAGCCCCGGCUAACUACGUGCCAGCAGCCGCGGUAAUACGUAGGGGGCAAGCGUUGCUCGGAAUUACUGGGCGUAAAGGGUCCGUAGGCGGCUGGGUGUGUCCUUCGUGAAAUCUUCGGGCUUAACUCGAAGAGGCCGUGGGAAACUACCUGGCUCGAGGGCCGGAGAGGUGCGUGGAAAUUGCGGGUGUAGCGGUGAAAUGCGUAGAGAUCCGCAGGAACACCGGCGGCGAAGGCGGCGCACUGGACGGCUCCUGACGCUGAGGGACGAAAGCUGGGGGAGCAAACAGGAUUAGAUACCCUGGUAGUCCCAGCCCUAAACGAUGGUCACUGGGUGUGCCCCGCGUAGGUGGGGCGUGCCGACGCUAACGCAUUAAGUGACCCGCCUGGGGAGUACGGCCGCAAGGCUGAAACUCAAAGGAAUUGACGGGGGCCCGCACAAGCGGUGGAGCAUGUGGUUCAAUUCGACGCAACGCGAAGAACCUUACCUGGGCUUGAAGAGCACGGGACCCGCCCGAGAAAUUGGGCCUUCCCGCAAGGGACUCGUGCAGAGGUGCUGCAUGGCUGUCGUCAGCUCGUGUCGUGAGAUGUUGGGUUAAGUCCCGCAACGAGCGCAACCCUUGCUCUUAGUUGCUAACGGUUCGGCCGAGCACUCUAAGAGGACUGCCUCGGACAACGGGGAGGAAGGUGGGGAUGACGUCAAGUCAGCAUGGCCUUUAUGUCCAGGGCUACACACGUGCUACAAUGCGCGCUACAACAGGAUGCCAACCCGCAAGGGGGAGCCAAUCCCGAAAAAGCGCGCUCAGUUCGGAUUGCCGUCUGCAACUCGACGGCAUGAAGCUGGAAUCGCUAGUAAUGGCGCAUCAGCACGGCGCCGUGAAUACGUUCCCGGGCCUUGUACACACCGCC
rnacentral:rRNA from 1 species